UGUGAGAUGCUACCUUAGCAGUAUGUGAAGAUCCCCAAGUUAUGUUUGAGAUUUUGCGGGAUUAGCUUAUAAGAUGCUUGUUGUAGAGCUGAAUUGAUGCUUGUUAGAGUUGUGAUUUAUAAACAUUCAGAGUAACUUACCAAUGUGUAUAUUGCACUGAGACUGAGUGAUGAGUGGUGUUUGAAGGAAUUAUUUAAGUCUGCCGAUUAUAUCUUGGGUUGUUCAUUGAUUUGUAGUGGUGGAGGUUUUAUUGCAAGAUUGUAGAGUUGGAAAUUCAGCUAGUACGGGGACUUGUUGAAGCUAACAAAUUGGUUUGGACUUCUGAUUAGUGAUACUGAAGCAUAUUACUUUAUUUGGUCUUUGUGGUUGUUUUCAGUUUGAACUUGCACUCAGUGGCCUCAUCUCUUUGGCGCAGCUUGGAGUUGGUAGUGUGCACAUCCGAAGCAUCUUACUUGGUUUAUGUUGUGUGACAUCUUGCUGAUUAUGAUAUCUGCUUCAACUUGCAUGUGGUUUUGAUGGAAUAUGAUGUCCAAAAUGGAAAUAUCGGUUCAUACUCAGUUUGUAUAGCAGAUUAUCAAAUUUUGAUUUGGCUAUUAAUUACUUGGUUACCACACUGUUUCAGGAAGUUAGGCUUUGACAUUUGGCUGCUUAUAUCUUUGACCUUGCAAAUUUAUCACCUAUGAUAGGAAGUGAAGAUCGCAUGUACAUGAGCUCUGAAUGCAGUAAA
rnacentral:lncRNA from 1 species